CCCCGUACCCCGCCGAUCCCCGGCCCUCUGUCUCUCUGGCCUUCCCUCCGUCCCUCCCGCCUGCACCACAAACUCGGCGCCGCUCUCCCUCUCUCGUCCCCAGAGUACAUGAACCACCUCACCGUCCACAACAAAGAGGUGCUGUACGAGCUCAUUGAGAACCGAGGCCCAGCCACCCCCUCAUCACCGUCUCUGAUCACCAGUCCGGCACGGAUGACCCUCAUCUCUGGGGGAUCCUGAAACUCCACCACCAUCUGGAACCUGCAGUUGAUGCGUUGGACCCCUGCAGCUGCAGACAUCUGCUUCACCAAGGAGCUACAUUCACACUUCUUCAGCUUGGGCAAGUGUGUGCCCGUGUGCCGAGGUUCUCGGUUCCCGCCAGCGCCACCUGAAGCCCAAUCACCCCUCGCCCCCCCUAAUCCCAGCACCUAGCCAAUAGCCACCAGCCCCGUAGAAGUGACACCUCAAUCAGCUCAUGCCCCUUCCUAUAUAACCCAGCACCUUUCCCUAAUAAAGCCGAAUUCUCUGGUGAAUUGCUGCUGUGUGUCGCUCCUUUCCUUUCAUUGGUGCUGAAACCCGGGAGACGGGACACCCCAACUGGGCCGUCUUCCCCCGACACCAGCAGCAGCUUGCCCUCGUCCUCUUUUUCCAUCGCUGGCUCCUCACACUCACCACCCCUCUCUGGCCUUUGGGUAAGUUUUCCCCUGGAGCGGGCCGCUCUUCCCGACGAGGAGGGAACUCUCCCCACCUUAGGCUUUCACGGCUGCGGCGGACCCUCAGGCCACUCCUCCAACAGCCAUAAAUGAGGUGACUCCUUUGCGGAUGAGAAUGCUCCCCUUUCCCUCCCCCUUCCUCUUUCCAUUCCUUCUGCCAAAAAUUCCUAGUACUAUGUUCCUCGUGACUCUGGCACCGUGACUUCUUAGAGAAGUCUGGGUGACGACCCACACUUCCUAAGAAAUUCCGACUCGUAUACGAGUUUCCGCAGACCACGAAGGAUCAUUGGGGACGCCCUUUGUCUCCUUGCCGUCUGCUCCCAGUCCGAGGAUCUCCGUUCGUCUUCCCCUGUUUGUCUCCUUCUCUGUCCUUUAGCCAUGGGAGCCUCCUCAUCCCUCCCUGGAAGCUCACCUCUUGAAUGCCUGCUCAAAUAUCUAGCCACCCUCUCCCUGACACCUGAUAUAAAACCAAAACUUCUCCGUAAAUACUGUUCCCAAGAUUGGCCGACAUACCCCCUAGACAAUAACAACCAAUGGCCCACAGGGGGAACUCUUGAUCCUAACAUCACUCGCAAUCUCU